rnacentral:rRNA from 1 species
GUGUCAGCAGCCGCGGUAAUACGUAGGGUGCGAGCGUUGUCCGGAAUUACUGGGUGUAAAGGGUCCGCAGGCGGGCAGGAAAGUCAGAGGUGAAAGACUUCGGCUCAACCGAAGAAUUGCCUUUGAUACUUCUUGUCUUGAAUCCGAGAGAGGAUAGUGGAAUUCAUGGUGUAGCGGUGAAAUGCGUAGAGAUCAUGAAGAACACCAGUAGCGAAGGCGGCUAUCUGGCUCGGUAUUGACGCUCAGGGACGAAAGCGUGGGUAGCAAACAGGAUUAGAAACCCGAGUAGUCC